CAUUUAUUGAAACAAAUAGUUCAUAAAAUAAAAUUCAAAAAUGAAAUUUCUCUUCGGUAUCCUCUUUGUAAUUUUUUUGGUAACUACAUUCGCCGAUGCUCAGUUUGGUAACGCCAGGUCUGCAGAUCAUAGUUUUAAUGGUGUUUAUAACGGUGCAAUGAAGAUCAGCAAUAUACAGAAUAAGGGCUCAAUUGGAUAAGUCUAUGAAAGACUUUAAGUAAAGUUUGAUUUAAUUAAUAAUAAAUAUUUUUAUUUUUCUUGUCCGUUAAUCAUUUAAAUACAAUAAAAUUAAAUAUAAAAUUGAA